rnacentral:sRNA from 1 species
CUCUUGGCUCUUGCAACGAUGAAGAACGCAGCAAAAUGCGAUACGUAGUGCGAUCUGCAUGAACCUGUGAGUCAUCGAGUCUUUGAACGCAACUUGCGCCACUCUGUGGCAUGUCUGUUUGAGCACCACAUACAUCUGUCGCAAGACGAAUUGCCUGGUUGUUCGCCGGGUUAAAUCGAGUGUAUCGUUACAUUGGGGUGGCUUAGUAGUGAGCACCGAGCUAGAGACCUGGGUAGAGGUGGUUGGUUGUUACAGAUCACCGCUACUCUACACACACCAGUCUUGUCGGUACCCCACGAAACUACCCCCCACUCACUCUGGUCUCAAAUCAGGCAAGACUACCCGCUGAACUUAA